GGCUCAGAGUAUUUCAGUCGGUUAGAGCGUGGCACUGAUAACGCCAAGGUUGCAGGUUCAAUCCCCGGGUGGGACA